CAUUUUUAUACGCCCGUCUAUGACGGGACGUAUUAUGGUAUACCCCGCGUCCGUCCGUCCGUCCGUCUGUUAAUGUCGUACGCUACGUCAAAUAUCCUUUGACAGAUUUUCUUCAAAUUUUAACACAAUCUUAAUAUUGAUAAACCCUGAUCCCCUUUCGUUUUUGACGGAAUUCUGAAUUGUCGUUCCAGAGUUAUGGGACUUUGUUCGUCAAAAUUUCGUGAUUUCAUUGAAUGUCCUACUGUAGCUAUAUAAAAAUGUUAAAGUUGUUAUAACUUUGGUAUGCUUGGACCUAGAGUCUUGAAACUUGACAUGAAGGUUGGCCAGAACUAGUAAGUAACCACUGGACAUUUCAAGGUCAUUCAUUUGAAGGUCAAGGUCACUGUGACCUUGAAUGUAAAAAUGUUAAAGUUCUUAUUUCAUGUUAUAACUUUGGUAUGCUUGUACCUAGAGUCUUCAAACUUGAAAUAAAGAUUGGCCAGUACUAGAAGAUGACCACUGGUCAUUUCAAUGUCAUUCAUUUGAAGGUCAAGGUCACUGUGACCUUAAAUGUUAAAAUGUUAAAAUUGUUAUAACUUUGGUAUGCUUGGACAUAGAGUCUUCAAACUUGACAUGAAGGUUUGCAAGCACACUUAGAUGACCACUGGUCAUUUCAAGGUCAUUCAUUCUAAGGUCAAGGUCACUGUGACCUUAAAUGUUAUUGUUGUUCAUGUAUCCUACCGUAGCUCAAAUAUCCCCCGAUGGAUUUUUUAUACGCCCGUCUAUGACGGGACGUAUUAUGGUAUUCCCCGCGUCCGUCUGUCCGUCCGUCCGUCCGUCCGUCCGUCCGUCCGUCUGUUAAUGUCGUACGCUACGUCAAAUAUCCUUUGACAGAUUUUCUUCAAAUUUUAACACAAUCUUAAUAUUGAUAAACCCUGAUCCCCUUUCGUUUUUGACGGAAUUCUGAAUUGUCGUUCCAGAGUUAUGGGACUUUGUUCGUCAAAAUUUCGUGAUUUCAUUGAAUGUCCUACUGUAGCUCAAAUAUCCUUCGAUGGAUUUUUUUCAAAUUUCAACACAAUCUUAAUAUUGAUAAACCCUGAUCCCCUUUCGUUUUUGACGGAAUUCUGAAUUGUCGUUCCAGAGUUAUGGGACUUUGUUCGUCAAAAUUUCGUGAUUUCCAUGCUCAUGUACUUAUAAAAUAAACCAUGUAUUCAAAUACAAAUAAACUGAAGUAAAAAAAUGA